rnacentral:rRNA from 1 species
AUGACUAGGGAUAACCUUAGGAAGAGACACAUCAUCAAACCCCUUGAUUGUGUUUACUGCUUGGAACAAGAGUUUUGUUCUCACCUAUUUUUUGAAUGUAUAGUUGCUAAACAUCUAUGGGCCCACAUUGAGGAAUAUUUCUCUAGUCAGAUUGGCUCAUCCUUCGAAUCUAUCGCCAGAUUCUGGAUUGCUACCAAAAAGUGCUCAGUUUUAAACACUGUUAGCUCAGCUGUCCUUUGGUGCCUCUGGAAAUAUAGAAAUGCUAUGAUUUUCAGUAACACCUCCUGGAUUUCCAUUCCGCAGGUCUUGAGGUUGAUCAGGAACAUGGUGAGGAACUGGGCGAUUCUCUCCUCCGGAUCGGACAAGGACAAGUUGAUGAGCUUCGUGGAAACCCUAACAAGAUUCCUCCAGAAACCGUUGGCGAUCACUUGUGGCUGA